AAAAAGACAAACCUUAGAUUUCCGUGUCUAACUUUGACUGUCUGUCUUAUAUAAUUUUUUUUUAUAAUUCAUAAUUUUAUUGUUGUUAGAUGAUAAAACAUGAUUAAUACUUUCUGCGUGACUUGUCUUUUUAAUUUUUUAUAUAAUUUUUUCAAAUAAGACGGAUGUUCGAAGGGUUUAGGGUUUAGGGCUUGUCUCUCU
rnacentral:pre_miRNA from 1 species